UUUUAGCCGCCCGGCCUAACGCCUCUCCCCGCUCCACCUCCGCCGCUGUGGUUCGCGACGCUGGGACGUAGACAAAAAGGGUCGGAGGAGAUGGCUGCGGGGACUGACGCUGAGUAAAGGAGGAAAAGAAAAGGGAAGGAGAGGGACACUUCUUCCAAAUAGAGAAUUGUGAGGAGCCUGCGAAAAUUGAGGAUGGAUUCCACUCCUAGGCCAGAGAGUGCCUGUUUUGUCGAUUGAAACUAUCCACGAUAUGCCCCAGGCUAGGUGGACUGCCCUCUACUGGACUAUUUGAGGUAUUCAGCCAGCAGGUCAAUGUGACUAAAAAGGCAGAUUUGGAUAACAGAUUAUAAGAACAAUGUAGAAGAAAUCAAAUGUAGAUAAAGAAAAAGCCUUACUUUAUGAGAAUCAUGAAGAUGACUUUGAAAUGGAGUUCCAACUUCUUGGUCUGGGGAAGGAGCAAAGGACUGAUUCACAUAAAUAAACUACAAGAAAGGAAGGAAAAACAGAGAUGUUUAAUGGUAU
rnacentral:lncRNA from 10 species